rnacentral:rRNA from 1 species
GACGAACGCUGGCGGCGUGCCUAAUACAUGCAAGUCGAGCGCAGGAAACUGACGGAACUCUUCGGAGGGAAGGCAGUGGAAUGAGCGGCGGACGGGUGAGUAACACGUAAGGAACCCGCCUCAAGGAUUGGGAUAACUCCGAGAAAUCGGAGCUAAUACCGGAUAGUUCAACGGACCGCAUGGUCCGCUGAUGAAAGGCGCUCCGGCGUCACCUUGAGAUGGCCUUGCGGUGCAUUAGCUAGUUGGUGGGGUAACGGCCCACCAAGGCGACGGUGCAUAGCCGACCUGAGAGGGUGAUCGGCCACACUGGGACUGAGACACGGCCCAGACUCCUACGGGAGGCAGCAGUAGGGAAUCUUCCACAAUGGACGAAAGUCUGAUGGAGCAACGCCGCGUGAGUGAUGAAGGUUUUCGGAUCGUAAAACUCUGUUGUAAGGGAAGAACACGUACGAGAGGAAAUGCUCGUACCUUGACGGUACCUUACGAGAAAGCCACGGCUAACUACGUGCCAGCAGCCGCCGUAG